CACUAUACCCACCCCACCCCCCAAAUUAUUUUUUUGAAACGGUUAAAAAAAACAAAUAUUUAUUUUUAUCAUUUUAUUUUUGAAAUACCGUUUGACCAUCGCACCCAAGAAUCCCCUCCCCCCACCCCUAAUUUUUUUUUUGCAUUUUUUUUUCGCAUUUUGGGAAGAUAAUGUAAUAAAUGACCACACCCCCACACUAUACACCCCUCUUCACUCCACCCCUCCCUCCUUUGUGAUUGAAAUUGAGAGUCCCUUCACCUUUAAAAAGAAAAUAGAUGAGCGGUCUGCACCCGCAAGGCGGUGCUCUUGUUCUUUAUUAUGAUCACCCCAUAUACUAAGUUUGAUUACUCUAGUAAGUUUGUAAUUUGUCAAAAUUAUAGAUUUUUUUAACCCAUUUAUGCCUAGCUUCUAGAAAAAAGGCCUUGUCAAACAGCGUAGACCUAGAUGAGACGCUGCAUGAUGCGGCGUCUUAUCUGGGUCUGCACAGUUUGCUGAAAGGAAUUUCUGUAAGAAACAUUCUAAAUAUAGAAAUAAAUAUACUAGACAUCCCUAAUUUUGGAAAUAAAUUGAUCCAAUUUAGAAGGAUGGGAGAGUUCACUAGGCAUAAAUGGGUUAAACCAAGAAAUGUUCAUGUAUACAAAAAGGCAGAUUAUAGUUUUUCGGUAAGCUAGUUUCUCGGAAAUGGAUUCAAGGAUAUCAAUCACUCAAGCAUAUAAAAAAAAUCCCAUAUUUAAAUGAUACAGUAUGCUAAGUUCGGCAACUAGUUUGAAUGUGUCCUAAUUAAAGACUGUUACACUCAAAUGGUUAGGGUCAAGGUUAAAGUCAUGAUAAGUCAUGUUUAGUAACAGUAGAAAAAUUGUUUCUGCUCAGUUACUCAGGAAUAGAUGUAGCUAUAGUCAUGAUAUUGAAUAUGUAAAUACCACAAAUCUAGACCUUGCCAGGGUUGCAUGCGGCAUGCAUGAGGUAUGGGUCACUGGUAUUGAAAAAAGUUUCUGCUUAGUAACUAAAUACAAAUUGAGCUAUUGAUAUUUUAUAACAUACAUAGAUAUGUCACAUGAAAACUUCAUUAAAGAUUGCAGAAGGGGUCACGGUCACUGUUAUUAAAAAAAGAUAAAUGGUUCCUGCUCAUUAGCUCAGGAACAAAUUCAGCUAUUUUAUUGAAACCAUGUUCAAAAAUAUCUUAAAUCCAAAUGGGCAGUGUGGGGUCAGCAUCAUAUUCACUGAUUUUAGAUAUUGAUGUACUUGAUAACUGGAAAAAUAAUUGAUAUUGGAAUGAAACUGACCUAAUAUAGAUAUAUGGUUCCAACUUAAGAUCUUGAUAUGACUGGAUUAUCCUUCCUAAUGACCAGACAUUGUUUCAUGUUCAACUCCCAUGCUUUUUAGUGAAAGGUCAGGAUGACUAUCCAAGUUUAAAGGUCAUGAAUUAAAGUUUUCUGUCUCUAUAAUUUUUUUCACCCAAUGUCAGGCGUUGGUAACUUAUAGCUUGUUGCCACUACUCUAGAGGCCACAUUUUUCAUCCAAUGUUGAUGAACCUUAGUCAGAUUGUUAUCUGGAAAAUAUAUAGGUUGAGUUGGAAUCAAGGUCUUGUCCAUCCAUAAACUAGGUCACUAGGUCUGAAUGAUUUUGUUGACAUGUUUAGGCAAAGGUUAAAUCUGGGUCAGGUGCAUCACAAUACUGAGUAACCAGGUAAAAUAUUGUUACCAUGCUAGAGGCCAUAUUCAUGACACAGUCUUGAUGAAACUUGGGCAGAAUGUUUAUUUUGACAAAAUAAAGACUGCGUUUGAAUCUUGGUUAAGUGGGGUGUAAAAAAAGCAGAUCUCCAGCUAAAGUCUUGAACAAAUGGUGUCUGUGAACUAAGGUGUGUACUUAAAGGCCAUCACAGACAUUUUUGGGAGGUGCUGGGGGGGGGGAAUAGGCGCUUUGUGCUGUUCUCUUUUUUAUGUCCCCCACAUAGUAGUGGGGGACAUAUUGUUUUUGCCCUGUCUGUUGGUUGGUUGGUCUGUUGGUUGGUUUGCGCCAACUUUAACAUUUUGCAAUAACUUUUGCUAUAUUGAAGAUAGCAACUUCAUAUUUGGCAUGCAUGUGUAUCUCAUGAAGCUGCACAUUUUGAGUGGUGAAAGGUCAAGGUCAUCCUUCAAGGUCAGAGGUCAAAUAUAUGUGGCCCAAAUCGCUUAUUUUAUGAAUACUUUUGCAAUAUUGAAGAUAGCAACUUGAUAUUUGGCAUGCAUGUGUAUCUCAUGGAGCUGCACAUUUUGAGUGGUAAAAGGUCAAGGUCAUCCUUCAAGGUCAAAUAUAUGGGUCAAAAUUGCUCAAGUAAUGUCACUUCUGCAAUAUUGAAGCUAGCGAUUUUAUAUUUGAAAUGCGUGUGUAUCUCUAGGAGCUGCACAUUUUGAGUGGUGAAGGGUCAAGGUCAAGGUCAUCCUUCAAGGUCAAACGUCAUAUAGGGGGACAAUGUGUUUCACAAACACAUCUUGUUUGUUUAUUUAUAUAUUUUGUUUGUUAAUGAGAGUGAGUUCCUCAUUUUCAAUGCAUUUCUUUGUUUGUAAAUACUCAAUUGUAGAUUAAUACAAUACUCUUCAUACACUCAAUGUCAUUGUUACACAGUCUCUUGUUGUAGAAUGUUUUCUUGUAUAUUAGCCCUAGCUCUCGGAAAACAGGGCUUAAUUUGUGUGUGUUAAGUGUCAUCUGAGAUCAUGUAAGAUGCGUUCUGAGAAAACGGGGCUUAAUGCAUGCGCGUAAAGUGUCAACCCAGGUCAGCCUGUGCAAUCGGCACAGGCUAAUCAGGGAAGACACUUUCCACUUUUAUGGUAUUUUUCAUUUAAAGGAAGUCUCUUCUACUCGAAAAUCCAGUUAAGGCGGUAAGUGCCGUCCCUGAUUAGCCUGUGCAGACUGCACAGGCUUAUCUGGGAUGACACUACGCACAUGCAUUAAGCCCAGUUUUCUCAGAGCGCGACUCACGUUCUAAUCAGCGACAACAUUUUCCGCGGUUAUGGUAUUUUUUGUUCAAAGGAAGUCUAUUGUUAGCGAAAAAUCCAGUUUCUGCAGAAAAUGUCGUCCCUGAUAAGCAUGUGCAGGCUGAUCUGGGACGACACUUUACAAACAGGCAUUUCGUGUGGUUUUACCAGAGCGAGGCUCAAUUUUAUAUUGCAUAGACUAGUAACUUAACAGUCAUGCCAAAGACCAUAGAAAUUGGGGAGAACAUGGCAUUCGAUCACAAGUAUAAAGUGAACGUCAUGCAGAGACAAAUCACUGAUUUUGAAACAAAAGCAGGGUGAAAUCUUGAUAAGAUCAGUGAAAUUGACAAAAGAAAAUAAAGGAAAGCAAAGAAAGAAAAAAAAUAUAUAAGUGUCUAAAAAAAGAAAGAAAAAUGUUUGUAAAUAAAUUAUUGUGAUUGAUGUACAUUAGUCACUUGCUGAAUAUAAAAGGAUUAUGAAAACUGCAUUGUGUAAAUAACUUAAGGCAUAUAUGUCUUAUAUUCGAUGAUAUAAAAAAAAAUCAAUGUUGCAUAUGUGUUUAUACUUGAUUGUUUUAAGAAUACUUAAUAGUAAAUGAAUAUCUGAAUCAGCUGCAUUCUAAUUAAGACAUUUUAGCAGUUGACAAUCUGACUGUCUUUUUCUAUUUUGUAUGCCUCCAGUAGGGUCGCAUAUAGCUGUUGAACUGUCCGUCAGUCUGUCUGUCUGUCCGAAAACUUUAACAUUGCCCAUUUGUUAUGCAUGUGUAUCUCAUGGAGCUGCACAUUUUGAGUGGUGAAAGGUCAAGGUCAAAGUCAUCCUUCAAGGUCAAAGGUCAUAUAUAUGGCUUCAAAGCAGCGCAGUAUGAGGGAUUGUGUUUCUGACAAACACAUCUCUUGUUUGAAGAUAUAUUAUAUAUAAUCAAGUAUAUAUAAUCAAGUCAGGUGCUGUGUUGGACAUUAUUUUGGUGAAGGUAAAAGUGUAGAUACAUGUAUAUUGUUGAUGUUAUGCAAGAAAGUAACUCGCACAAUCAUUUCAACACAUCUUUUUUACAGCUUUUGUUAUCACAAAGUUGAAUUUGCUAAAAAUAGAUUUCAGCAUCUCAUGAUACUUGUACAGUUGUUCGAAAAAUCAAGCAAUUUAAACUGAAGUUAUAUUUCAUUCAUUCAGUUAAAAGACUUGCUUAAUGACUAGUGAAUGAGUGAAAGAUGUUUGCAAUGCAUGAUUAAACUUGUUUGUUUUCGAUAUCAGCGUCAACAUUUUUAGGCAGCGUCGGAAGUACUACGAAUUCAUGAUAACUACGUUGUGCUUCAGAAACUGCCUGAAGCCAAUCUCACGUUUGCUUGUAAAUAUUCGGAUAUCGUAGCCGGAAAUUUACAUAUAUAUUGUGACACAAAAAAUAUAAAUGAGCAUUUUGGAAGCUAUAGUGAAACCUUAUGAGCUCUCUAUAAGCCUGAUUGCUUUGAAAAUUCGUUCUGAUGAUAUCUGUGUCGAGUUCACAAAUGGGACCAGUCUUUUGAAUUUUUGGGCAUGGGGUGGUGCAGUUUUCCUUAUGUGGCCAUAGUGAAACCUUGUGAACACUCAAGAAGUCACAUGUAUUUAAUGUCCGAUCUUCAUGAAACCUACUCGCAACAUUUGUGCAAAUGAAACAUUGGCAGAGUUUUGAAAUGGUUUUGAGAUGGUUGUGGGACCAUCCAAACCUACUCAGAACAGUUGUGUUCCUUCAAGUCCUUGGUAAGCAAAACUUGCCUUCGGCUCUCUUUUGUCAACAUUAGUAGUAUUCAGACAAAAGUUGUUACUUUUGUUACUCACGGAUAAAUCCAGUGAACGUCAUUGUGUCAUAUUAGUGCUCUUGUUAUAUGAACUGUCACCUUGUUGCAUGAUCAAAAUCUGUAUAUCAUAUGUAUUUUGCAUUAAUAUAUACAAUUAAAGUAAGCAGGUCAUUGCCUAUGUGUUGUUGUGUGUGUUUGGACAGUCUUGAGCGAAAAGUCUGCAAAUACCAGUAGUAUUUCCUUAUUUGACCCCAAUAAAAUGUCUAUCAGUGUUUCAUCCACAUUGUUAUUAUUAUUUGUUGUAUUGAUUUUAAGCAUCAGUAUCAAUAAAGGUAUUAACUAUUAAA